AUAUGGGCACCAAAACACAUAUAGGCUCCAUACCCCGUCCGGUAUGAGAGACCACAAUCCCGGUAGGGUUCCCUACGGACCUGGUCCGUCCACCAUCUCCCAGGAUAUCUAGUCAGGCUGACCACAUUAUGCAAUUAUCAAUUUACAUAACCUUUCAUUCCCCUUUUCCCCAGUCAGCAUCAUCAAUUGACACACAAACAAGCAAACCAAUA
rnacentral:lncRNA from 1 species